UACGGGGGGGGCAAGCGUUGUUCGGAAUUACUGGGCGUAAAGGGCUUGUAGGUGGCCAACUAAGUCAGACGUGAAAUCCCUCGGCUUAACCGGGGAACUGCGUCUGAUACUGGAUGGCUGGAGUGUGGGAGAGGGAUGCGGAAUUCCAGGUGUAGCGGUGAAAUACGUAGAUAUCUGGAGGAACACCGGUGGCGAAGGCGGCAUCCUGGACCAUUACUGACACUGAAAAGCGAAAGCCAGGGGAGCAAACGGG
rnacentral:rRNA from 1 species